AGUGAUGCUGCCCCAGCUCAUCGUGGGUUCAGCGGCAGAGGGAAAAGCCUGCAGGACAGGCUUUGCUUUCUUGACCUGGCUUGGCUUUCUUUCGCGUAAAAAAAAAAGUGUUCUCAGAAGCACCCAAACCGCGGUAAAUAUAAAGCCUGAUCACUGCUGUGGACAGAAGCCCACAUGUUGACUUCUGUGGGGGAUAGGGGGAUGCCUCUUCUGUGGGACACAGAUUAAAUCCAGGUGAUGUUGCACUUUAAUAAAUUAUAAAUGUUCGUGGUGUCCCUUUCUCAGGUUCUGCUCUCAGGAACUCACAGUGGGAAAUACAGUCUCUUAAGCUGGCGUUGGGAUUUCUCAUGUGAAUGUGCCCCAGGUUACUUCCUCUCUACUUUUCUCAAAUGUUGUCCAUGGUGAACUGGUUGAAAAUAAACCAAAGAAAGAAAUGGGGACAGAGGAGGCUGUUGGAUCAUCCAAUCAACUUUCCUGUUGGUACAGACUUACCCUGGUAGCUUGUUUAUUAGUGUUUCUCAAAUUCUUCUUAAAAUAAGUUAACUGAAAGAAUUCCUACCACUUCCUCUGAAAAAUUUGCACAAGCUCUGAUAUUCACUCUUUUCUCCACCCUCUUUUCAUUUACUCCUACUUGUUCCCCUACGUGUAAGCCCAAGUAUUUCCUCCCCAUCCUUCAGGUUUGCAUUACUUAAGCAUUUAUUUGCUGGCUGAAGACACGCGUCCAUCUACCUCUUCUUCAGCGCAACUAGAUGUAUUAAGCUCUUUUAACCUUUCUCUAGAAAACCCGUCUUCCAGAUAAUUCUUGCUGCUGUUCCUCAAAUUGCCUCAUUUGCCUCGACGUUAUGAUGGAUUGCACAGAAAUGAUGCACAUGCCAGCCCUGAGUCUGCGAGGGAAACACUGUCCUUUCAGAAGCGUUUCAAUGAGCUUGAGCUGCCAAAAUCAGCUGGCAUCCCUUCAGCGCUUUGCAUCACUUGGCUAUGUUUUUGGGCACCCUGAAACUGGGCUUACUACCCCGUGGAUCUGUGGUGUGUCUUUUACAUGCCAGUACUUUGCAGCUCUGGUACUCAGCUGGAGCUUUGUGCUGAAGGCAACCCUGCAAUGAGGACAAGUGGCUCAGGGCUCCUCCUCUGUGCUUUGUUGUCUGUUCCAUCCUCCAAGUCAUUGGAGGGCUUUGUUUCCAACAUGCUGUUUGCAGCACUGUGAAACUUGUGCAUGAAGAAAACUGAGUAAAUAGGAUAUACUGGGGCUUUAAUAUUCAGGAUUGUCUACAAGAUUAUUUUCACUGAACCCUUGUUAUUUUUUACAUAAUGACUUUAUUUUCUAUGUAAACAGGUAAAUUUACCUUUUUAUGUUUUGUUUUACUUCUGUUUUCUGUUCACUUAACCACUUGUGAUCAUACACCAAAUAUAUAAUAGAAUUUUUGUUAACCUAUUGAGAAAAAAAUGUCCUUUGUUUCUUCAAGAAUGUUACAUUUUGUGAACUAAGUGUAAUGAUCCAGAAGUUACUUUCUCAGAGAAAGGGAUGCUCACCUUCUGAUCAGGCUCAUUAUUUAUGUAGGCUACACACUUGUGCAAUAAGAGUCUGCUUUCAGCUUUCCCAUGGCAAAAACCAUGACACUGUAAUUUUUGUUUAUCAGUUUCCUCUAAUAAAAGACAUUAUGCAGUGUUUUGCUGACAUUACUGCUAGCUGUAGUAUCACUGUUGUGAACUACGAUGUGAACGAUCGCUGUGGGUACAUACCUGGAA